CAGCUGACACCUAUGGACCUGUGGCCCUGACUACUACCAGCUUGCUCAUCCCUCUACUCACACAGUCACCCCUCCCCUCACUCUCAUUUAUGCUUCACCUGUGAAUGGUGGUCCUGGGAAAGCCACUGCUGGAGCCCGGGUGAGCCUGGGGGCUCCUCCCACUCUGUCCCUCCCUGAGACAGCCCUCGCCACAGCUGCCGAGCCGGCCACCACGUCCCUGCAUACUUGAUCAUCAACUGUGCCACCAGAAGCCACCACAGCUUUGGGGCACAACCUGAAGACCCUCACAGUCACCUUCCCCAUCUCCACCCUCCGGUAUUCAUCAGACAGGAGCAAUGGCUCAGCCACGUUCCACUCCACUGAGAGGGUCCUGCAGAGCCUGCUGGAUCCUUGUUCAAGAAGAGCAGCCUGGGCCUCUUCUCCUUGAGUUGCAGACUGGUCUCCCUCAGGCCUGUGAAGGAUGGGGGAGCCACCUGUGUGGACGCUGUCUGCACCCACCACCGUGACCUCGUGGGCCACCAUGCCUCUGUGCUGGGAGCUGAGAGUCUCCACCUGUCUGCUCUUCCUCUCGGUGGCUCCAGGCUCUGCACCCUGGAGUUUAUG